GGCAGUAGGAAACGCGUUCGCGAGCCAAAAACUGGACCAGUGGGGUUGCGGCUGUUGCGCGACGUCCCCGCGCUGCUGAGAACUGAUCCCCGAAGCUGGAUCCCGCUUGCUGUUGUCAGAGUGAAUGAUUCUGCUCAUUUCCCCGGUCUCUUUGGCGUUUCUCACCACAUUUCAGGACCUUGAGUACUGCUGGCCGCUGCAUGGAAGCUCGACGGUGGGGAUUCGAGGAAACCUACAAGGAGAAGGAGCCUGAAGAGUGAGCAGUGAUGAAGGAAACCAGAAAAAACCAACAGUGGAUAGGUAAAGAGGAUAGGAUGCCUGAUGAACUAUGGACUGAGAUUCGUGACAUUGUACAGGAUACAGGGAUCAAGACCAUCCCCAAGAAAAGCAAAUGCAAAAAAGUAAAGUGGCUGUCUGAGGAGCCCUUACAAAUAGCUGUGAAAAUAAGAGAAGUGAAAAACAAAGGAGAAAAGGAAAGAUAUACCCAUCUGAAUGCAGAGUUCCAAAGAAUAGCAAGGAGAGAUAAGAAAGCCUUCCGCAGUGAUCAGUGCAAAGAAAUAGAGGAAAACAAUAGAACGGGAAAGACUAGAGAUCUCUUCAAGAAAAUUAGAGAUACCAAGGGAACAUUUCAUGCAAAGAUGGGCAUAAUAAAGGACAGAAAUGGUAUGGACCUAACAGAAGCAGAAGAUAUUAAGAAGAGUUGGCAAUACACAGAAGAACUGUACAAAAAAGAUCUUCAUGACCCAGAUAAUCACAAUGGUGUAAUCACUCACCUAGAGCCAGACAUCCUGGAAUGUGAAGUCAAGUGGGCCUUAGGAAGCAUCACUAUGAACAAAGCUAGUGGAGGUGAUGGAAUUCCAGUUGAGCUAUUCCAAAUCCUAAAAGAUGAUACUGUGAAAGUGCUGCACUCAAUAUGCCAGCAAAUUUGGAAAACUCAGCAGUGGCCACAGGACUGGAAAAGGUCAGUUUUCAUUCCAAUCCCAAAGAAAGGCAAUGCCAAAGAAUGCUCAAACUACCACACAGUUGCACUCAUCUCACAUGCUAGUAAAGUAAUGCUCAAAAUUCUCCAAGCCAGGCUUCAGCAACACGUGAACCAUGAACUUCCAGAUGUUCAAGCUGGUUUUAGAAAAGGCAGAGGAACCAGAGAUCAAAUUGCCAACAUCCGCUAUAUCAUUGAAAAAGCAAGAGAGUUCCAGAAACAACAUCUAUUUCUGCUUUGUUGACUAUGACAAAGCCUUUGACUGUGUGGAUUACAACAAAUUGGAAAAUUCUGAAAGAGAUGGGAAUACCAGACUACCUGACCUGCCUCUUGAGAAAUCUGUAUGCAGGUCAGGAAGCAACAGUUAGAACUGGACAUGGAACAACAGACUGGUUCCAAAUAGGAAAAAGAGUUCGUCGAGGC
ensembl:lncRNA